AUUCCAUAGUGAAAGCGGCAGCCCUGUAAAGCUGCAAUGUUACCUGAGCUGCUAUGUCACCGCGUUCCAAGACUGCAGCUAUUAUAAGGCGUCGGGAAGUUGAGCUGUCAUUCCUCUGGAAAAAAAAGCCGGAAAAAAAGCUACAAAACGCAGAAAUGGACAUUCAAGCAAAUGCUUUAAAAGAAACAGUGGAUGUAUGGGACCUGAUAUCCAGAAUACUCAGGAUCCGGUGUUUUCUGGACAAUGGAUCUUUCUGUAAUUUGGAUCUUCAUACCUAUUGCAAAACAUGGAUACAACAUGGAUACAACCCAGUAGGCCAGUUUUGCUUCCAAUAAGGGUUAAUUAUAUCUUAUUUUUGAUCAGUUACAAGCUACUGUUUUAUUAUUACAGAGAAAAAAGGAAUCAUUUAAAAAUAUUUGGAUUAUUUGGAUAAAAUAGAGUCUAUGGGAGACAGACUUUCCAUAAUUUGGGCUUUCUGGAUAACUGGUUUCCAGAUAAUGGAUCCUAUACCUUUAUAAUGCAAAUGUACUUCUAAUUAUGGACAGCUCACUACACUACACUAUCAUUGAGGCACAACUUAUUUUUUUUUAUUAAAUUUGCUUUGCGGGAAAAAAAUCAUAUUUUCACGAUUUUUUCUGAUUUUUCCAUCCGAUUUU